GAUGAACGCUAGCUACAGGCUUAACACAUGCAAGUCGAGGGGCAGCGGGAUUGAAGCUUGCUUCAAUUGCCGGCGACCGGCGCACGGGUGAGUAACGCGUAUCCAACCUUCCGUACACUCAGGGAUAGCCUUUCGAAAGAAAGAUUAAUACCUGAUGGUAUGAUGAGAUCGCAUGGUAUCAUCAUUAAAGAUUUAUCGGUGUACGAUGGGGAUGCGUUCCAUUAGGUAGUAGGCGGGGUAACGGCCCACCUAGCCAACGAUGGAUAGGGGUUCUGAGAGGAAGGUCCCCCACAUUGGAACUGAGACACGGUCCAAACUCCUACGGGAGGCAGCAGUGAGGAAUAUUGGUCAAUGGACGAAAGUCUGAACCAGCCAAGUAGCGUGAAGGAUGAAGGUCCUACGGAUUGUAAACUUCUUUUAUAAGGGAUAAACCCUCCACGUGUGGGAGCUUGUAUGUACCUUAUGAAUAAGCAUCGGCUAACUCCGUGCCAGCAG
rnacentral:rRNA from 1 species